CUUGACUUGACUUGGGAAGUGUUAUUUACAGUAUAUCAGGAGUUGCAGGAGUAGGGCAUGGAGAGAAAUUGGGCUUUAUGUUCUUUGCGCAGUUCAGACAGGAGUCCUGACGGCACCCAUACAUGUGUCUGGAACUAAAGGAGGAAGAGUGGAAUUAACAUGCCCAUAUCCAGAUCAGCACAUAUACACAUCAAAGUACUUCUGCCGGGAGCCGUGUGGGCGGAGUGAUGUUCUUAUCACAUUAGGAAAGCCUAAUGAUGGAGUUACAGAGGGAAGAUAUUUUGCUUUGGACACCAUAAGUGCAAGGACUUUCUCAGUGAUCAUCUUUAAUUUGCGGUUGGGUGAUGCUGGAGUUUACUACUGUGGGCUUAGUCAGUGGGGUCAGACACUAAAACCAAAGUGGUGCUGACGGUCAGUCAAGACUCUGUCAUCUGGAUGAUGCGUUUUGGGAUUAUUCUGGGACUGCUGUUGUGUGGUGGAUUAACACUCAUUUGGAUGCACAAGACAGCAGCUCCUAUCUGUCUGUACGUGUCUUUAAUGUACACAUCAUUCUGUACGUGUCUGUAAUGUACAUAUCAUUCUGUAUGUGUCUUUAAUGUACACAUCAUUCUGUACGUGUCUUUAAUGUACACAUCGUUCUGUACGUGUCUGUAAUGUACACAUCUUUCUGUACGUGUCUGUAAUGUACACAUCUUUCUGUACGUGUCUGUAAUGUACACAUCUUUCCGUAUAUUAUGUCACACAUCAUUCAAACUCAUUGUGUGUAUCUGCUCUUCUGGAGAUGCAGGUUCAUGUUCACGCUGGGAUCUGUAAAA